rnacentral:rRNA from 1 species
AUGGCCAGGCGCGGCCGCCGUGUUUCGCCGGAGGCGGCAGCGCCGCUGGACUACGAGGACCUCGUCGGCGAGAUCCUCCUCCGCCUCCCCCCGCUGCCCUCUCGCUCACGCGCGCCACCGCCGUCUGCAAGCUCUGGGGCCGCCUCGCCGCCUCCCCCGACUUCCGCCGCCGCUUCCGCGAGCACCACUGCCGGAAACCCCCCAUCCUCGGCGUCUUCGAGAAGCAGUCUUCGACGCUCCUGUUCAUCCCCGCCCUCGACCCCCCCGACCGCAUCCCCGCCCAGCGCCUCUCCCUCCAGGCCUGCCGCUCCGGGGACUCCUGGCGCGUGCUGGGGUGCCGCGCCGGCCGCAUCCUCGUCGUCAACUGGACGCGGCGCGAGCUCCUCGUCUUUGACCCUGUCUCCGGCGACCGCCUCCGCGUGGCCUUCCCGCCUGAUUUUGUCGACGGCGCACACAACGCCAACGGGGCUGUGCUCUGCGACGAAAAGAGCCCACUCAAGCUGGUCUUUGUAA